rfam:Ruminococcus sp. CAG:9 genomic scaffold, scf130
GCUGAUGUGGCUCAGAGGUAGAGCACUUCCUUGGUAAGGAAGGGGUCACGGGUUCAAUUCCCGUCAUCAGCU